rnacentral:tRNA from 1 species
GGGCAGAUAUCCAAGUGGUUAAAGGAGACAGACUGUAAAUCUGUUACGCUUGCGUUUCGAAGGUUCGAAUCCUUCUCUGCCCA